AACGAACGCUGGCGGCAGGCUUAACACAUGCAAGUCGAACGCCCGGGCAACCGGGAGUGGCAGACGGGUGAGUAACGCGUGGGAACAUACCCUUUGGUUCGGAAUAACUCAGGGAAACUUGAGCUAAUACCGGAUAAGCCCUUAUGGGGAAAGAUUUAUCGCCGAAGGAUUGGCCCGCGUCCGAUUAGCUAGUUGGUGAGGUAACGGCUCACCAAGGCGACGAUCGGUAGCUGGUCUGAGAGGAUGAUCAGCCACACUGGGACUGAGACACGGCCCAGACUCCUACGGGAGGCAGCAGUGGGGAAUAUUGGACAAUGGGGGCAACCCUGAUCCAGCCAUGCCGCGUGAGUGAUGAAGGCCCUAGGGUUGUAAAGCUCUUUCGGCGGGGACGAUAAUGACGGUACCCGCAGAAGAAGCCCCGGCUAACUUCGUGCCAGCCGCCGCCGUAA
rnacentral:rRNA from 1 species